AGUGAACGCUGGCGGUAGGCCUAACACAUGCAAGUCGAACGGCAGCACAGUAAGAGCUUGCUCUUACGGGUGGCGAGUGGCGGACGGGUGGGGAAUACAUCGGAAUCUACUUUUUCGUGGGGGAUAACGUAGGGAAACUUACGAUAAUACCGCAUACGACCUACGGGUGAAAGCAGGGGAUCUUCGGACCUUGCGCGAUUGAAUGAGCCGAUGUCGGAUUAGCUAGUUGGCGGGGUAAAGGCCCACCAAGGCGACGAUCCGUAGCUGGUCUGAGAGGAUGAUCAGCCACACUGGAACUGAGACACGGUCCAGACUCCUACGGGAGGCAGCAGUGGGGAAUAUUGGGCAAUGGGCGCAAGCCUGAUCCAGCCAUACCGCGUGGGUGAAGAAGGCCUUCGGGUUGUAAAGCCCUUUUGUUGGGAAAGAAAAGCAGCAGGUUAAUACCCCGCUGUUCUGACGGUACCCAAAGAAUAAGCACCGGCUAACUUCGUG
rnacentral:rRNA from 1 species